GUGAGACAGUUCGGUCCAUAUCCGGUAUGGGCGUAGGAGAAUUGAGAGGAGCCGUCCCUAGUACGAGAGGACCGGGACGGACCGACCGCUGGUGUACCGGUGGUCCUGCCAAGGGCCAAUGCCGGGUAGCCAUGUCGGGAGAGGAUAACCGCUGAAAGCAUCUAAGUGGGAAGCCCACCUCAAGAUGAGUUCUCCCAUCCGGUCAACGGAGUAAGACCCCACCAAGAUAAGGUGGUUGAUAGGCGGUAGGUGGAAGGUCAGCAAUGGCCGCAGCCGAGCCGUACUAAUCGGUCGAGGGUUUAACCAC
rnacentral:rRNA from 1 species